UUUUCGUACCACGGCGAGGCCGGAUUCCUGUUUUAUCAUGAAUAUUCAUUAGGCAGGGUCGGGGAAAGUCUCGAUUCUCUUAAAUAUUCAUAUCGAGGUGGGAAUGCACGACGCGCGCUAUACUCGCACAAAGUGAGAAGAUUUAGUUCACGGAGAAUGCAUAUGGAUUGAAACUGAAGAGCUGGAAGGAGGACAUUACAACAUCUCUUAUAUUUGCAAGAUGAAGCAGAAAGUCCCAUGCAUGAUGAUGCCUCUCUACAGUGGAUGAUGAAGGCAUUCUGGUUUGCAAACUCAGGAGAGGAACAAAGAACAGAUGUUGACGGGAUCAUAUCUAGAGAUGCGGGCCUACUACACUUCAUACGAGCAAGUGUGCUAAUAUACAUGAAGACUUGGGUUAUAUUUUUUUCUGAAAACUAGGCUACAACUUUAGUGAUGGAUGCAGAAGAUAUCUACACGAGACUACGUCUUAAAGAUGCCACCCUCAUAUAAUGAAAGAGGACAAUAGAGAUGGGUUUAAACUGGAAUAUUUACAUGAUAUUUAUUUGUUAUUUGUAUUAUA
rnacentral:lncRNA from 1 species